ensembl:lncRNA
CAUGAAUCAUGUCAACCAUACUUCAGCAACACAAGGAAAAAACACAAAGUGCUUUUUUUUUGUUCUGCUCCAGAACAAAAUUCAACCCUUGAACAUCGAUGUCUACUUCCAUUUAGGAUUAUAUUUGUUUCCAGUGAAAGCAGUGAACUGGCCAUAAAUAGAGAUUCAGUGGAGCAAAACUGGUAUCACUUGGAAGCAGAGCUUCAAGUACAUCAACAAAGGAAUACUUACAGUCCAAGACAAAGCAUGUGAUUGCCUCUGAAAACCUGGAUACAGAUCUACUCAAGUCUGGAACCACAUCUGAUUUAUGGAGCACAGUAUUGCGUCUCAUACCACCUACUACAGCAACAAGCCUUGUACAUCAUUACUAGUGAAAUACAAUUCCUUUCAACUAAAAAGUGUCUUCAGGGUAGCACAUGUUGACCAUUCUUAUUGUUUAUUCAAUUUGUCCCUUCUUAUAUUCUCACCUCUACUACCUGCAUUUUCUUUCUAUCCCAGAUCUGAAUCUCUUUUUCUGUAUGUCAGCAAAAGCAAUGGUGCCUGUCUCACUCCAGCCUAAUUAUGGCCUUGAUUGUCAGUUAUAAUCUCAACUCCAAUCAAAUUGUAUUCUCCAAGAGAAAACAAGCCCUGAUUUUCUAUAAUGCAGCUAUUGAUACGUGCAGGCUACCUCAUCCUGUGGACUUGUGAAGUCCUGUCAUGCCAGUAACUUCCUGCAUUUAAGGGGUACUCUGAAAGUAAUCAGCAGCAGAUGUUGGUAGUAUGGCAGUAGAGACUGAACCUUCUUGUAAAUAUUCCAUUUCAUUUUGUUUCUAUGUGACAGAUGGCAGCAGAGGGGCAGUCCAAUAAAAUGAUGUCUGACAGGGAACUGUAUGAAGCAAAGGUGUGGAACUGAAUUCCUCCAUUUGGAAAAAAUGACACCCACUGGCAUUCAUCAGUGCUUACUGAACAUUUAUGGAGACCAAACAGUAAAUAUGAUCACAGUGAGGCAACGGGUGGUGAUCUUCAGCAGCUGCAAGAAUGACAUUGGAUCACCUCUGUUGGUGCAGAUUUUUCUGAGCGUGGCACACAGGCUCUUGUUCAAUGAUGGCAGAAGUAGUGCUUUGUAGCUGAGUAUUUGCUCUAUUGAAUAGUUAUAUUGUGC